AAUUACUCCAUUUUUCAGUUCUUGAUACAACGUUUGACUCUUCGUCUUAUUUAAAAAUUUUCUAUGAUUAGUAUUUUUAUUGUUAUUAGAUAAUAAAAUAUGAAUAGUAUUUUAUGUGUUACUAAUUUUUUUUAAAAAAAAAUUAUAUAAGACGGACGGUGAAACGUUGGACAUAAAAAACUAAAAAUGAAGUCUCU
rfam:Oryza sativa (indica cultivar-group) chromosome 5, whole genome shotgun sequence.